GACGAACGCUGGCGGCGUGCUUAACACAUGCAAGUCGAACGGAAAGGCCCUGCUUUUGUGGGGUGCUCGAGUGGCGAACGGGUGAGUAACACGUGAGUAACCUGCCCUUGACUUUGGGAUAACUUCAGGAAACUGGGGCUAAUACCGGAUAGGAGCUCCUGCUGCAUGGUGGGGGUUGGAAAGUUUCGGCGGUUGGGGAUAGACUCGCGGCUUAUCAGCUUGUUGGUGGGGUAGUGGCUUACCAAGGCUUUGACGGGUAGCCGGCCUGAGAGGGUGACCGGCCACAGUGGGACUUAGAGUCGGCCCAGACUCCUACGGGAGGCAGCAGUGGGGAAUAUUGCACAAUGGGCGGAAGCCUGAUGCAGCAACGCCGCGUGCGGGAUGACGGCCUUCGGGUUGUAAACCGCUUUCGCCUGUGACGAAGCGUGAGUGACGGUAAUGGGUAAAGAAGCACCGGCUAACUACGUG
rnacentral:rRNA from 1 species